UGAAUGCGGUCGUUGGCUCCGGGGAACGGAACAAUGAGGCUCUAAUUAGCAGCAAAGGUCAAGCGAUAGUGCCGUCCGUUACAAUUCCAUUCCACGCAACUCACAUCCCUUCCUGCAUCCUGCCUCGUGCCUGAUAUUUGGCAGAAUGGGAAAUUUACAACCAACAAUAUUUGGCAUCCGAUUGCGGCGAGGCCAUCAUCAAGACGUGCAUAAUUGACACUUGCCCGAGGACACUCUCCGGUCCACUCCAGGGCAUGCCACAAUCGAGCCGUGUCAAACCCCUCCACACACCCCUAACAAAUUCCACGGCAAUGACCAUAAAAAUAGUAGAGUGCGUGUCCUGGAAGGAGGAGGUGAAUGGCAGGGGAGGAUUGCGGUCUGUUCUCCUGACAAAUCGAGCGCAACCCCCUCGAGGGCACAUCGAACGGCAAUUAAAAAUUAAAAUCCAACUUUUGUAAUCGA